rnacentral:rRNA from 1 species
GACGAACCGUGCGAACGUUAUUCGGAAUUACUGGGCGUAAAGGGCGCGUAGGCGGUUGGAUAAGUCAGCUGUGAAAACCACGGGCUUAACUCGUGGCCUGCAGUUGAGACUGUCUGGCUUGAGUGUGGGAGAGGAGAGUGGAAUUCCGGGUGUAGCGGUGAAAUGCGUAGAUAUCCGGAGGAACACCGGUGGCGAAGGCGGCUUCCUGGACCGACACUGACGCUGAGGCGCGAAAGCUAGGGGAGCAAACGGG